rnacentral:rRNA from 1 species
GUGGGGAAUUUUGGACAAUGGGCGCAAGCCUGAUCCAGCAAUGCCGCGUGCAGGAAGAAGGCCUUCGGGUUGUAAACUGCUUUUGUACGGAACGAAACGGUCCUGGUUAAUACCUGGGGCUAAUGACGGUACCGUAAGAAUAAGCACCGGCUAACUACGUGCCAGCAGCCGCGGUAAUACGUAGGGUGCGAGCGUUAAUCGGAAUUACUGGGCGUAAAGCGUGCGCAGGCGGUGCUGUAAGACAGGCGUGAAAUCCCCGGGCUCAACCUGGGAAUUGCGCUUGUGACUGCAGUGCUGGAGUACGGCAGAGGGGGAUGGAAUUCCGCGUGUAGCAGUGAAAUGCGUAGAUAUGCGGAGGAACACCGAUGGCGAAGGCAGUCCCCUGGGCCUAUACUGACGCUCAUGCACGAAAGCGUGGGGAGCAAACAGGAUUAGAAACCCUUGUAGUCC